rnacentral:rRNA from 1 species
UACGUACUGUGCGAACGUUAUUCGGAAUCACUGGGCUUAAAGGGUGCGUAGGCGGUCAUCUAAGUAGGGUGUGAAAUCCCCCGGCUCAACCGGGGAACUGCGCUCUAAACUGGAUGGCUUGAGUGAGAUAGGGGUGUGCGGAACUUCCGGUGGAGCGGUGAAAUGUGUUGAUAUCGGAAGGAACACCAGUAGCGAAAGCGGCACACUGGGUCUUAACUGACGCUGAGGCACGAAAGCUAGGGUAGCGAACGGG